rnacentral:tRNA from 1 species
GCGCCAAUAGCUCAGUUGGAUAGAGCAACAGCCUUCUAAGCUGUGGGUCAGAGGUUCAAAUCCUCUUUGGCGUA